CCCGACAGAAGAGGUGCGAUGCACAGGUAACUAACGCUAGGUAGCCGUUCUACCGCUAAGCGUUAACUAGGGGUGCAUCGCCGAGAUAAUCAACUGGUACGGCGAGCUGAUUAUCGGCUAGGCAGGCUGAAUCCUGUCGGCUGUCAUCCAAACUUUGGGUGGAGCGCUUCAAGCUAA
rnacentral:ncRNA from 2 species